ACGGGAGGCAGCAGUGGGGAAUAUUGCACAAUGGGGGAAACCCUGAUGCAGCGACGCCGCGUGAGCGAAGAAGUAUUUCGGUAUGUAAAGCUCUAUCAGCAGGGAAGAAAAUGACGGUACCUGACUAAGAAGCACCGGCUAAAUACGUGCCAGCAGCCGCGGUAAUACGUAUGGUGCAAGCGUUAUCCGGAUUUACUGGGUGUAAAGGGAGCGUAGACGGCAUGGCAGGUCUGAAGUGAAAGGACGGGGCUUAACCCUGUGACUGCUUUGGAAACUGUCAAGCUAGAGUGCCGGAGGGGUAAGCGGAAUUCCUAGUGUAGCGGUGAAAUGCGUAGAUAUUAGGAGGAACACCAGUGGCGAAGGCGGCUUACUGGACGGUAACUGACGUUGAGGCUCGAAAGUGUAGGUAGCAAACAGGAUUAGAUACCCUGGUA
rnacentral:rRNA from 1 species